AUCCAGACUCCUACGGGAGGCAGCAGUGGGGAAUAUUGCACAAUGGGGGAAACCCUGAUGCAGCGACGCCGCGUGAGCGAUGAAGUAUUUCGGUAUGUAAAGCUCUAUCAGCAGGGAAGAAGAUGACGGUACCUGACUAAGAAGCCCCGGCUAACUACGUGCCAGCAGCCGCGGUAAUACGUAGGGGGCAAGCGUUAUCCGGAUUUACUGGGUGUAAAGGGAGCGUAGACGGCGAUGCAAGCCAGAUGUGAAAGCCCGGGGCUCAACCCCGGGACUGCAUUUGGAACUGUGUGGCUGGAGUGUCGGAGAGGCAGGCGGAAUUCCUAGUGUAGCGGUGAAAUGCGUAGAUAUUAGGAGGAACACCAGUGGCGAAGGCGGCCUGCUGGACGAUGACUGACGUUGAGGCUCGAAAGCGUGGGGAGCAAACAGGAUUAGAUACCCGUGUA
rnacentral:rRNA from 1 species